rnacentral:rRNA from 1 species
UGAGGAAUUUUGGACAAUGGGCGAAAGCCUGAUCCAGCAAUGCCGCGUGUGUGAAGAAGGCCUUCGGGUUGUAAAGCACUUUUGUCCGGAAAGAAAUCCUUGGCUCUAAUACAGUCGGGGGAUGACGGUACCGGAAGAAUAAGCACCGGCUAACUACGUGCCAGCAGCCGCGGUAAUACGUAGGGUGCAAGCGUUAAUCGGAAUUACUGGGCGUAAAGCGUGCGCAGGCGGUUUGCUAAGACCGAUGUGAAAUCCCCGGGCUCAACCUGGGAACUGCAUUGGUGACUGGCAGGCUAGAGUAUGGCAGAGGGGGGUAGAAUUCCACGUGUAGCAGUGAAAUGCGUAGAGAUGUGGAGGAAUACCGAUGGCGAAGGCAGCCCCCUGGGCCAAUACUGACGCUCAUGCACGAAAGCGUGGGGAGCAAAACAGGAUUAGAUACCCUGGUAGUCCACGCCCUAAAACGAUGUCAACUAGUUGUUGGGGAUUCAUUUCCUUAGUAACGUAGCUAACGCGUGAAGUUGACCGCCUGGGGGAGUACGGUCGC